CUAGUACUCCCUCCGUUACGAAUUACUUGUCGCAGAAAUAAAUGUAUCUAGAACUAAAAAAUGUCUAGAUACAUCCAUUUCUACGACAAGUAAUUUCGAACGGAGCGAGUAAAAA
rfam:Triticum aestivum genome assembly, contig: Triticum_aestivum_CS42_TGACv1_scaffold_405005_5BL